AAUUUCUACGACUUUUACAAAUUAGUCCAGAUUGACUUGAAGUGAAGUGGGUAGAUCGGAUCAACACAACAGGGCACACUAUUCAGAUCAAUUCAUGUAGUUUUUGUUUUAUGUUUAAAGAUUUAUAUGGCAUGUAUAGAGUUUGAAUGAAUUGAAGUAAAGAUGUUAUAAACUAGUUAACAAUAUUUGUACUAAAACAGUUUUCGGUAAGUAGCAGUAGUUUGACUUUGAAAAAUCACUAAAAAUAGUAGAAAUGGAAUUAAAUAAUGAAUAAAUUAUGGAAUCGAAUCUU